rnacentral:rRNA from 1 species
UAGGGAAUCUUCCACAAUGGACGCAAGUCUGAUGGAGCAACGCCGCGUGAGUGAAGAAGGUCUUCGGAUCGUAAAACUCUGUUGUUAGAGAAGAACACGAGUGAGAGUAACUGUUCAUUCGAUGAUGGUAUCUAACCAGCAAGUCACGGCUAACUACGUGCCAA